CCGGAAGGUGUAUCUAGAUUAUCAGGGUAUAACAUGUAUUGUUGUUUUCAGUUACGUUGAAUAUAUUUUUUGUGUGAUUCAAAAUGCCUUGAUAAUUAUCAUUUAAUUUUUUUUUGUUUGUUUAUUGAAUAUUUUAAUUUAAUUAAAUUUGGUUUUUUGUGUUUUAUUAUUUUUUUAGGAAAAAUUUUGUUUGUUAUAGUUUAUUUAAUGUAAAUGUUUAUUUGUAUUUUCUAGUAAGUAGAUUUAUUUUAUUGUACCUUUUGUAUCAGGGUUAAUUAAUUAAUUAAUUUUUAUUUGUUUUUCUCGAAUUGGUAGGAUUUAUCUUAAUAUGAUUUUUUAUGUUUCAUAAUGAUUUUAAAUAUUGAGAUGGUAAUGAUAUUUUAUUCGUUUUCCAAGAUAUCUAGUUCUCUAAGAUAAAAUUUAAUUUUAUUUGUUCAUUUACGUUGGAUUUUAUUUUUUGAUUUAUUUGUUCAAUUUAAUUUUUAAGGGGUUAAGCUCUUUAUUUUUUCUAUAAUUUUAUGGGGGUUUGGUUGAUUUUUAGGCUUAAGACCAGCCAUUAUGUUAAUUGCGUUUUAGUUUAUCAUUCUAUUUAAUUAUUUGUUUUUGGGUUUAGUUGAUGUAUUAGAGUAUAUAUUGUAAUUUUUUACGUUUAGUAAUAAUGAUUGAAUUAGUAUAUUUAUUUGUUUGUUGUUUUAUUUAUGAUAAUUAAUUUUAAGGAACUCGGCAAGAUAUUUAGUUUUCCCGCCUGUUUAUCAAAAACAUCUCCUUUUGUGAAAAAUAUAAGGUUUGGCCUGCUCACUGAUUAAUUAAAGAGCCGCGGUAAUUUGACCGUGCAAAGGUAGCAUAAUCAUUAGUUUAUUAAUUGUGAACUUGUAUGAAAGGUUUGACGAGGAAAACUCUGUCUCUAUUUUAUUUAUAAAAUUUAACUUUUUAGUUAAAAGGCUAAGAUUUAUUUUUGGGACGAUAAGACCCUAUAGAGCUUUAUUUUAUUUCUUUGUGAUUUAUUUUGUUAAUUUUUUAUUUUGAGGUGUUAAAAUUUUGUUGGGGCGAUGUGAAUAAUAGUUAAACUAUUCAUUUAUAUUUUCAUUGAUUUAUGUUUUUUUUGAUCCAGUAUUAUUGAUUUUAAGAUUAAGUUACCUUAGGGAUAACAGCGUAAUUAUUUUUGAGAGUUCAUAUUGACGAAAUAGAUUGCGACCUCGAUGUUGGAUUAAGGUUAAAAAUUUGGGUAGCAGCUAA
rnacentral:rRNA from 1 species